rnacentral:lncRNA from 1 species
GACUGGACAUUUUAAAUUUUGAAUUGUGACUCAAAUUCAAAGUACUAGAGGACUUUUACCAUCUUAAGAAUGAUGAUCAACUCAUGGAAUCUGGAAUGCAGUGGAGGUGAUACUAUGGUCAUAAUGACCAGGGGCUGGGUCAGAAGAACUUCAGAUUGAGCCUCUUGAAACAUUUGCUCUUGGAAUUCUCCCUCUCAGGAAACUAACAGCCUGCUAUGAAGCCCAAGCCACAAAGAGAGGCCAAGGGGAAAUAAACAGAGUGUGAUUAUAUGCAAAACCUACAAGAAUGAGGACCUCCAAACUCAGUGUACAGAGUGAUUUUCUGCUGAAACAAUUGGAAAAUAAAAGAGACAUCAGUGUGUGAAUGACGACUUUCUGUUGCUGACUUGGAAGACAGAGGAAUUGGGUCAUGAGCCGAGGAAGGUGGGCAGCUUCUAAAAGGCGGAAAAGUGGCUGAAGUGAGAGGAAGCGAGGAUAUGGCUGACAUUCUCCAAGAAGCAGUGACUUCAGAAGAUGACUGGCAUCUUGAACUUCAGGAAAAUGCUUGGCCUUUUUAACUCUGAAAGUCUGUUUGAAACUCAGAAGAAGAAAAUUAGGUGAAUACAAAACUGCUGCCAAACUUAGAAACUUGGUUAAAUAUCCUGCAGAAAAUAUCAUGGGCUUUUCAGAGUCCAGUUAAAUAUCUACAGAUUAUAUUUCCAGUUUCAUACCUGGGGCAUUAACUCUAUUCAUUUUACUAGCUUUAGUGAAUUUUACUUCUGGAGCAUAACAUUGCAUUGAAAAUGUGUCCUCUAACCUAUGAUAUUUAUGUAUCGUUUAAUAUGAAAUUUAUGAGGUUCCAUUUCUGAUUUCCAAAUGGAUGCAAAUUAGAACACAGGAUAUUUACAUUCUUUCAUUUCUAACCCACAUACAUAAAGUUUGACUUUAAAAUGCCACUGUUCGUGUCUGUUUCAUAGAAGCUCUAGGUAUUUAUACGUCCAUUGUGUCUCUGGCACACUCUGAAUUCCAGUUUUUAAUCUAAUAUUGGGCAGGAAUUGGCUAUAAAAAUACAAUGCCAUUGAGGACAGAGCUGGAUUGCUUUUUUUCUGUUAAUUCUUGAGAACUUUAUAGUUUCUCAGGGAAGUAUAAUUUGUAACCACAUCAUCAUCUAACACUUUUCCUGUCUUUUUUGGAGAUUGACAGUUGAAAAUCUAUAAGAUCUUUUUGCAACUAAGAUCAGGAAAAA